UGGCCAGACUCCUACGGGAGGCAGCAGUGGGGAAUAUUGCACAAUGGGGGAAACCCUGAUGCAGCGACGCCGCGUGAGUGAAGAAGUAUUUCGGUAUGUAAAGCUCUAUCAGCAGGGAAGAAGCAGACGGUACCUGACUAAGAAGCCCCGGCUAACUACGUGCCAGCAGCCGCGGUAAUACGUAGGGGGCAAGCGUUAUCCGGAUUUACUGGGUGUAAAGGGAGCGUAGACGGCUAAGCAAGUCUGAAGUGAAAGCCCGGGGCUUAACCCCGGGACUGCUUUGGAAACUGUUAAGCUAGAGUGCUGGAGAGGUAAGUGGAAUUCCUAGUGUAGCGGUGAAAUGCGUAGAUAUUAGGAAGAACACCAGUGGCGAAGGCGGCUUGCUGGACAGUAACUGACGUUGAGGCUCGAAAGCGUGGGGAGCAAACAGGAUUAGAUACCCUUGUAC
rnacentral:rRNA from 1 species